GCAGCAGCCGCGGGAAUACGGAGGGUGCAAGCGUUAAUCGGAAUUACUGGGCGUAAAGCGCACGCAGGCGGUCUGACAAGUCAGAUGUGAAAUCCCCGGGCUUAACCUGGGAACUGCAUUUGAAACUGUCAGGCUGGAGUCUUGUAGAGGGGGGUAGAAUUCCAGGUGUAGCGGUGAAAUGCGUAGAGAUCUGGAGGAAUACCGGUGGCGAAGGCGGCCCCCUGGACAAAGACUGACGCUCAGGUGCGAAAGCGUGGGGAGCAAACAGGAUUAGAUACCCCAGUAGUCCCUGUCUCUUAUAC
rnacentral:rRNA from 1 species